GAGUUUGAUCGUGGCUCAGAGUGAACGCUGGCGGUAGGCCUAACACAUGCAAGUCGAACGGUAACAGGUCUUUCGGGAUGCUGACGAGUGGCGGACGGGUGAGGAAUACAUCGGAAUCUGCUCAGUCGUGGGGGAUAACGCAUGGAAACGUGCGCUAAUACCGCAUACGACCUUCGGGUGAAAGCAGGGGAAUCUCUCGGGAUCCUUGCGCGAUUGAAUGAGCCGAUGUCGGAUUAGCUAGUUGGUAGGGUAAAAGCCUACCAAGGCCACGAUCCGUAGCUGGUCUGAGAGGAUGAUCAGCCACACUGGGACUGAGACACGGCCCAGACUCCUGCGGGAGGCAGCAGUGGGGAAUAUUGGACAAUGGGGGCAACCCUGAUCCAGCCAUACCGCGUGGGUGAAGAAGGCCUUCUGGGUUGUAAAGCCCUUUUGUUGGGGAAGAAAAACAACGGGUUAAUACCCCGUUGGUAUGACGGUACCCAAAGAAUAAGCACCGGCUAACUUCGUGCCAGCAGCCGCGGUAAUACGAAGGGUGCAAGCGUUACUCGGAAUUACUGGGCGUAAAGGGUGCGUAGGUGGUUGCGCCAGUCUGUCGUGAAAGCCCUGGGCUUAACCUGGGAAUGGCGAUGGAAACUGUGCAACUAGAGUGUGACAGAGGGUGGUGGAAUUCCUGGUGUAGCAGUGAAAUGCGUAGAGAUCAGGAGGAACAUUCGUGGCGAAGGCGGCCACCUGGGUCAACACGGACACUGAGGCACGAAAGCGUGGGGAGCAAACAGGAUUAGAUACCCUGGUAGUCCACGCCCUAAACGAUGCGAACUGGAUGUUGGGUCCAACUUGGGAUUCAGUAUCGAAGCUAACGCGUUAAGUUCGCCGCCCGGGGAGUACGGUCGCAAGACUGAAGCUCAAAGGAAUUGACGGGGGCCCG
rnacentral:rRNA from 1 species